GGUAGUGCGGGUACCUAAUACAUGCAAGUCGAGCGAAUGGAUUAAGAGCUUGCUCUUAUGAAGUUAGCGGCGGACGGGUGAGUAACACGUGGGUAACCUGCCCAUAAGACUGGGAUAACUCCGGGAAACCGGGGCUAAUACCGGAUAACAUUUUGAACCGCAUGGUUCGAAAUUGAAAGGCGGCUUCGGCUGUCACUUAUGGAUGGACCCGCGUCGCAUUAGCUAGUUGGUGAGGUAACGGCUCACCAAGGCAACGAUGCGUAGCCGACCUGAGAGGGUGAUCGGCCACACUGGGACUGAGACACGGCCCAGACUCCUACGGGAGGCAGCAGUAGGGAAUCUUCCGCAAUGGACGAAAGUCUGACGGAGCAACGCCGCGUGAGUGAUGAAGGCUUUCGGGUCGUAAAACUCUGUUGUUAGGGAAGAACAAGUGCUAGUUGAAUAAGCUGGCACCUUGACGGUACCUAACCAGAAAGCCACGGCUAACUACGUGCCAGCAGCCGCGGUAAUACGUAGGUGGCAAGCGUUAUCCGGAAUUAUUGGGCGUAAAGCGCGCGCAGGUGGUUUCUUAAGUCUGAUGUGAAAGCCCACGGCUCAACCGUGGAGGGUCAUUGGAAACUGGGAGACUUGAGUGCAGAAGAGGAAAGUGGAAUUCCAUGUGUAGCGGUGAAAUGCGUAGAGAUAUGGAGGAACACCAGUGGCGAAGGCGACUUUCUGGUCUGUAACUGACACUGAGGCGCGAAAGCGUGGGGAGCAAACAGGAUUAGAUACCUGGG
rnacentral:rRNA from 1 species